GUAGUCCACGCCGUAAACGAUGAAUGCUAGGUGUCGGGGGUCGAACCUCGGUGCCGGCGCUAACGCAUUAAGCAUUCCACCUGGGGAGUACGGCCGCAAGGUUGAAACUCAAAGGAAUUGACGGGGGCCCGCACAAGCAGCGGAGCAUGUGGUUUAAUUCGAAGCAACGCGAAGAACCUUACCAAAACUUGACAUCGUGCGCAUUACUCGUAAUGGAGGAAAUCUCUUCGGAGACGCAUAGACAGGUGGUGCAUGGUUGUCGUCAGCUCGUGUCGUGAGAUGUUGGGUUAAGUCCCGCAACGAGCGCAACCCUUAUCCUUAGUUGCCAGCAGUAAGAUGGGCACUCUAGGGAGACUGCCGUGGACAACACGGA
rnacentral:rRNA from 1 species